GUUUAUAACCAGUUUCACAUUUGUAUAUUUUUAGAGUACUGCUUAGAACUAGAAAUCUUGGUUAGGCCAAGUCAAUGUGCAUUAGGUGCUGAUUGUUUGCUCGGCACUCGCACCUCUAGUAAAUUAUCAAGAGUUGUGACAGACAGGCUAAUUCAUUUUUUUGUAGUUAUGUUUUCUCUAAAGUUCACAAGGACUUGUGUGGUCAUUUAUUCACAAUUU
rnacentral:misc_RNA from 1 species